GAUGAACGCUAGCGGGAGGCUUAAUACAUGCAAGUCGAGCGGUAACUGACCGAUAGCAAUAUUGGUUAGCUAGAGCGGCGCACGGGUGAGUAACGCGUACAUAACCUACCCUAUACUGGGGGAUAGCCUUGGGAAACUGAGAUUAAUACCCCAUGGUAUUAUUUGGCCACCUGGUUGAAUAAUUAAAGUUGCGGCGGUAUAGGGUGGGUGUGCGUCUGAUUAGCUAGUUGGUAGGGUAACGGCCUACCAAGGCGAUGAUCAGUAGGGGGCGUGAGAGCAUGACCCUGCUCACUGGGACUGAGACACUGCCCAGACACCUACGGGUGGCUGCAGUCGAGGAUCUUCGGCAAUGGGCGAAAGCCUGACCGAGCGACGCCGCGUGCGGGAUGAAGGC
rnacentral:rRNA from 1 species